rnacentral:rRNA from 1 species
ACGGAAGGCAGCAGUAGGGAAUUUUCGGCAAUGGGCGAAAGCCUGACCGAGCAAUGCCGCGUGAAUGAUGAAGGUCUUCGGAUUGUAAAGUUCUUUUAUAAGGGAAGAAAAAGUUUAAUAGAAUUAAGCAUAUUGACGGUACCUUAAGAAUAAGCUACGGCUAACUACGUGCCAGCAGCCGCGGUAAUACGUAGGUAGCGAGCGUUAUCCGGAAUUAUUGGGCGUAAAGAGUGAGUAGGCGGUUUGUUAAGUCUAAAGUCAAAGGCUGUGGCUCAACCACAGUUCGCUUUAGAAACUGACAGACUAGAGUGCGAGAGAGGUUGAUGGAACUCCAUGUGUAGCGGUGAAAUGCGUAGAUAUAUGGAAGAACACCAGUGGCGAAGGCGGUCAACUGGCUCGUAACUGACGCUCAGUCACGAAAGCGUGGGGAGCAAAUAGGAUUAGAUACCCUGGUA